rnacentral:rRNA from 1 species
CCUACGGGUAGCAGCAGUGGGGAAUAUUGGACAAUGGGCGAAAGCCUGAUCCAGCCAUGCCGCGUGUGUGAAGAAGGCCUUCGGGUUGUAAAGCACUUUCAGUGGGGAAGAAAGCCUUGGGGCUAAUACCCUCGAGGAAGGACAUCACCCACAGAAGAAGCACCGGCUAACUCCGGGCCAGCAGCCGCGGUAAUACGGAGGGUGCGAGCGUUAAUCGGAAUUACUGGGCGUAAAGCGCGCGUAGGCGGUCUGAUAAGCCGGUUGUGAAAGCCCCGGGCUCAACCUGGGAACGGCAUCCGGAACUGUCAGGCUAGAGUGCAGGAGAGGAAGGUAGAAUUCCCGGUGUAGCGGUGAAAUGCGUAGAGAUCGGGAGGAAUACCAGUGGCGAAGGCGGCCUUCUGGACUGACACUGACGCUGAGGUGCGAAAGCGUGGGUAGCAAACAGGAUUAGAUACCCCGGUAGUC